UACAGAGGUCUCAAGCGUUGUUCGGAUUCAUUGGGCGUAAAGGGUGCGUAGGCGGCGGGGUAAGUCAGGUGUGAAAUCCCGGAGCUCAACUCCGGAACUGCACUUGAUACUGCCUUGCUCGAGUACUGGAGAGGAGACUGGAAUUUACGGUGUAGCAGUGAAAUGCGUAGAUAUCGUAAGGAAGACCAGUGGCGAAGGCGAGUCUCUGGACAGUUACUGACGCUGAGGCACGAAGGCCAGGGGAGCAAACGGG
rnacentral:rRNA from 1 species